rnacentral:misc_RNA from 1 species
UACGGAGGGUGCAAGCGUUAUCCGGAUUUAUUGGGUUUAAAGGGUCCGUAGGCGGGGUCUUAAGUCAGUGGUGAAAGCCUGCAGCUCAACUGUAGAAUUGCCAUUGAUACUGAGGUCCUUGAAUAUAAUUGAAGUUAGCGGAAUGUGUCAUGUAGCGGUGAAAUGCUUAGAUAUGACACAGAACACCGAUUGCGAAGGCAGCUAACUAAGUUAUCAUUGACGCUGAGGGACGAAAGCGUGGGGAGCGAACAGG